rnacentral:rRNA from 1 species
ACGAUCUACCAGAAAGUGAGCGCAGGUCUUUAGAUCUGAUACAAGUCGUAACAAGGUAGCUGUAGGAGAACCUGUAGYUGG